GUGGGGAAUAUUGGGCAAUGGGCGAAAGCCUGACCCAGCAACGCCGCGUGAAGGAAGAAGGUUUUCGGAUCGUAAACUUCUAUCCUUGGUGAAGAUAAUGACGGUAGCCAAGAAGGAAGCCCCGGCUAACUUCGUGCCAGCAGCCGCGGUAAUACGAAGGGGGCUAGCGUUGCUCGGAAUUACUGGGCGUAAAGGGCGCGUAGGCGGCCCGGUAAGUCUGAAGUGAAAGUCCUGCUUUUAAGGUGGGAAUUGCUUUGGAUACUGUCGGGCUUGAGUGCAGGAGAGGUAAGCGGAAUUCCCGGUGUAGCGGUGAAAUGCGUAGAGAUCGGGAGGAACACCAGUGGCGAAGGCGGCUUACUGGACUGUAACUGACGCUGAGGCGCGAAAGUGUGGGGAGCAAACAGGAUUAGAUACCCUUGUAGUCC
rnacentral:rRNA from 1 species